rnacentral:misc_RNA from 1 species
ACCGCGGCUGAGGUUCGACC